UUUUUCUCAGUAUCUCACGAAUUUGGACAGUGCGCUGUUCUUCCGAAAACCAAUUCAUACGGUGUAAAAUUUGUGGCUUCAUGAACUGCCGUAUUAUAUGAAAACAUCGCAAAUUGAACUAGCUCAUCCCAAUCGUUGAAUUCGUU